CAGAGAUCCAAAAUUGAUACAGUACUCACAGAGAUGGGGAAAGCAAUGAAAAGCAUAAGGGGGACAAGAUCUACAAAAGCCAUACCCUACAAGCAAAAGAGCCUCUGACUACAUUAAAAGGAUUAAAAACCACAAUUAAAACUGCAGCUAAAGUCCUAUUGUACCUUCACAAUGGGACUCUGCCCACGCUACCCUCAGAUGAACUAGGAACCAAAGAGACACUGCUCCCAGAACACAGGAAAGUAACCAUCAUUGGGAAAGUCAGACGACACAAAAAUGAAAAGAGCACACAAAUUACACAAAGCAACAGUCCUGCCAAGAAAGAAGAGGAACCUUUGAAAAGCCACAAAGGGCUCUACUCUAAUGUUUUUGACGAAAUAAGCCUGAUUUAGUCUCCAGUAUCUUCUCUUGAAGUGCAGCUUCCGUUGGGACAUACAAAAUAAAUAUGCUGCAGAGUU